CCCAUGAUUGCGGUAAGAAUUUGUCCGGUGUCUGCUAGCUAAGCUAAAUAGCCUAAAAGUAAGCAUAGCAGCUAGCCCAAGCUAAAAGUAGCCAGUAGCUAGCUAUGAGGGACAAGUGACUUAAAAACGUUGUUUUGUUCUUUUCAUAGGAAACAGUACGCCGUCUUCACAACUCGGAGACAAACACUAGGCGAUACGAGCCGGCGCAAGGACUAACUUUGCCUCAUAACGAAGCCGUGACAAGCUAUUUAGUGCGGGCUUUGUCGACAAAUCCAAAUCUUCAUGAUGCUGACAAAGACAACAUUGUGUCUGCCUGCAAGACGUAUUACGAAACCUUACGCAGGAGCUACAGAUACCAGCAGCCUGAUCUUUCGUUGCAGGCGGAAGCAAUGAAGUAGCCGGCUCGUAGUCGCUCCAGAAGAAAGAGGCUGUUUGACGCGAGACGAGGUGUCCUUGCUAUGGACGAGAUGGAUGUAUGGCAGUGUGCUACCGUAGACCUGAUGUCGGAUGAGGAAAAUGGGGUGGUGGAUGGGGUGUCUGGGUGGAUCGUUAAGCCUCCGCCAUCCCGUAACCCGGAGCUCAGCGAACUAUUGCCGCUUUUCCACUACAAACGCGGCUGAGCCAUGCCGUGCUGAGUUGGGCUGAGUCGAGCUGAGCGGGGCUGUUGG